rnacentral:lncRNA from 1 species
AAGACUGAGAGACCUUCCAUCUUUCGUCAGGGUAACUUCUUUGGAUGAUAUUUUAUUUGAUUUCUUGAAUUCUGAGUGUCGAAACUGUCUGAAAUCUUCGGCAGUGAUCAUUAACACAUUCGAAGACUUAGACGAAGAAGGGCUUGAGGUUCUUAGGUCAUAUAACCCAAACAUAUACACCAUUGGUCCACUGGACUUGCUUGCUAGGCAUUUUCCUGAGAAGGAUAAGGGUUUCAUGUCAGUUGGAUCAAGUUUGUGGAAAAAUGACUCAAACUGCUUAACAUGGUUAAACAAAUGGGAACCUAACUCAGUGGUAUACGUUAAUUUUGGAAGCAUAGCUGUGAUGACUGCUCAUCACCUGAAAGAAUUUGCAUGGGGACUUGCAAACAGCAAGCUACCUUUCUUAUGGAUCAAAAGGGCAGACAUAGUAGCUGAUGAAUCUGAUUCAUUGCCACAAGAGUUCUUUGAUGAGAUCAAGGAUAGAGGGUAUAUAACAAGUUGGUGCCAGCAAGAGCAAGUUCUU